rnacentral:tRNA from 1 species
ACCUGGGUGGCUCAGUGGUUGAGCAUCUGCCUUCAACUCAGGGUGAGAUUCCAGCCCAGGGAUCGAGUCCCUCAUCAGGUU